rnacentral:rRNA from 1 species
AAUCAACGCUGGCGGCGUGCCUCAGACAUGCAAGUCGAACGAUUAAAGCUCUCUUCGGAGAGUGUAUAGAGUGGCGCACGGGUGAGUAACACGUAAGUAAUCUACCUUUGAGUGGGGAAUAACAGUCGGAAACGACUGCUAAUACCGCAUAAUGCAGCGGCACCGCAAGGUGACAGUUGUUAAAGGAGCAAUCCGCUUAAAGAGGAGCUUGCGGCAGAUUAGCUAGUUGGUAAGGUAAUGGCUUACCAAGGCUACGAUCUGUAUCCGGUCUAAGAGGACGGUCGGACACACUGACACUGAAUAACGGGUCAGACUCCUACGGAGGCAGCAGUCGGGAAUUUUGGGCAAUGGGCGAAAGCCUGACCCAGCAACGCCGCGUGAAGGAUGAAGUAUUUCGGUAUGUAAACUUCGAAAGAAUGGGAAGAAUCAAUGACGGUACCAUUUAUAAGGUCCGGCUAACUACGUGCCAGCCGCCGCAGU